rnacentral:tRNA from 1 species
GGGCCCAUAGCUCAAUUGGCAGAGCAGCGGACUCUUAAUCCGGAGGUUGAAGGUUCGAUUCCUUCUGGGCUCA